rnacentral:lncRNA from 13 species
AUUUUAUAGAGUUGCUAUUUGCCUUGAUUUACCAGGAAGCCAUUUAUUUCACCACCUGGCCAUUAAAAAGAAGUAUCUGAAAGAUACUUUCCCCAGAAGGAAUGUUAAGCAAGAGAUUGGGUUCUCAGACAAAAUGUGGCUGGUGUGUCUCUGACGGGUGGAGGGAACAUGUGCAAUGGUGAUCAAGAUUUGCCAUCCACAUUGCCAGUUUUCAAAUUCAUUGUUUUCAUUUUAUCACUUUGUGCUGACUUUUUUGUGUCUGUGAUGCUUUGAUGAAUUGUGCCUCUUUAGCCUUCUCUGCUCAGUGUGUUGUUUUUUGUAUCUGUAUCUGGAGAAGGGAAGCUGGAGCCUGCUAAUGAUGAAAGAUACGUGCAGAAAGCAAUCAGCACCACUUCAUCAGGAGCAAAACCAGACUUUACUGAAGACUGUCAGAUGACGGCCACAGGAACUGGGCUGUACCAAAGGAUACUGAUGCAUUCCUCAGGCUCUCAGGAGGACUCAGGCUCCUGGAACCUCAGAUCCAGGCCUGCAGAGAGCCUUUGCUCCAAGCCAAUACCUGAGCUUCUGCCAGUCCAACUAAUUAUAAUGGAGGAAGGAGAUGAGGGAUUAGAAAAAGCAAAGCUGACAGAUGGCAAUUUGUGAAGAGCUGAAUCAACAUAAAUUAUAUCUCAUCAGUGAGCAGAGGAGAGAGAAGAUGUUUUCCAGUGUUCGGCUAACCACUGAGACGGUGAGCAUGCCAGAGGCACAGCAAGCAAACCACUGGGCACCUUCCAGAGCUGGAGAAAUACCCUCUAUUGGAGAGCCAUAAGGAUUGCUCUAUUUGAAACAAUGCAAUAAAUGAACAUCUGGGAUUUUGGAAGGUGUCA